GACAGUGGACCGGCGCUGCCCAGAGGCAGGGGAGUCAUAUUCAGACAGGGCAGGCUCAGGGAAGUUUCUGCUUCAUCAGUGAAGCUCUUCUGGGGGAAGUUGGAGGUCAGGAGCCUCUGUGUUUCUCCAGGUCCUCUACCGCCUGCUGCAUAGCUGCCAGACCUCCCAGGACCAUAGCAACGCCUGCCCCAUCCCUGCAUUUGAAGCAUCAGCCGCUUCUUGUCUGUUACUAUAUCAUGCUCAUCAGACCUUCCUAGACUCAUUGGAGACCUCGUGAGGCCAGACGCAGGCCAUCCUCCUACCCAUGGGCCAGACACACCCAGGGCAGCCCAGAUGACGACCGGGGGUCAGGGGGGCCAUCUCCAUGUCCAGUGUGCAGACGAAGGCCUUUGUUCCUAAUCUGAUGCCUGGAAGAGGGGGGAGAGCUGGAGCAGGGGCAUGGAAGCCUCACAUAUGGGAUAUACUUAUACUAAAAAGUUACCGUUCUUUAUCUGACUCAAACUUAGCUGGAUGUCCUGUACUUUUCCUGGCAGCCCUACUCCAGAGGGCAGUUUUGUCCUAGGCUUUGUGAAAUGUGUGAAUCCAGAAAUGAGCGUUGGAGGCCAGGAGGCCUCUGGAGGUCCCCUCUUAAGGGGCCAGACGUCUGGGGCUCUGCUGCCCAGUGCUGUCACCUGCUUACUGUGCCACCUGGAGUUGUCCUUAGGCCUCUUUUGUAAGAUGGGGAUAGAAAAGCCAGUGUCUUCUCUUCUUCCACCUCCCCUGACCUCUCUCCCGGGAUGGGCUACAAUGAGGCCUCCUGGCAGAAUCCGCAGGGCCCGGGGCUUCGAGGGGGCUGCACAGGCUCCCUGCCUCAUUAGUUAAGAUGCUCUCGCUGCAAGUAUCAGAAAACUGCAAUUCUGCGGGCUUGAACAGUAAGGAAAAUACAACGUUUCACCUUAAUUAAUUAGCUCCAGCAUAGGCAGCUGCAGUGCUGGGUAAUUCACUAGAGCAGCAGAGUCACUCAUGUCCUUUGCAUCGAUCUGCUCCGUCCCCACAGCACGGUGAUGCCCCUCUUCUCUGGGUGGCAGGACGGCUGGUGCAGGUCCAAGUGUCCUGUGUGGAGGGAAAAGGGGGAUGACUCUUCCUUGUGUCUGAGGCAUCUUUCUCAGAAGAUGGCUGGCAGAUAGCCCCGUCUCGCUGAACAGAAUGUGUCACAAGCUUGUGCCCAAGUCCGCCUGUGGCCUGGAAGUGACUUAAAACCAUUAGUACGUGUUUACUCCUGGAAAGCUUCACCCAGCACACGUUUUGCUGGGUUCCUUCAGGGCGGAUGUAGACACCCAAACAAUAUCAGGUCCCUUGCUCUGUUCCCUGCCUCAUCCUGCAAAGCGUUUGAGGCAGUGUUGAUUAUUUCCUUUGUUCUUUUUUAUUUUUAACAUAAACAUUAGGGAGAAAGACUCUAACGAUAACCAUGAUCAAACGAGUGAUUUCACUCAUUCUGAGUGUACUUCGAUAAGCUGCAUAGUUUUGUUUUACAUACGUGUAAUCUGAUUGUAGUAUUGAUAGUUUUACCUUUCGAUUUUAUCAUUUUAAUGUCAUCUCACAUUUUCAUUUUCAUGAAUUGACAUGGGGUCAUCUGCUUGUCAUUUUAAGUGAAUAUAAUUGUGAUAGCACCUAACUUUUAUCAAGUACUUACUGUAGAGCAGGCACUGUUCUAAGUGUUUUCUAUGGAUUAUUUUACUUAAUCCUCAUAGCAGCCUAUUUUCAGAUGAGGAAACUGAGGCACACAGUAUCUAGAAAGGUACUGCAGCCUGAUUCCUGAGUCUCAGCUUUGAACCGCUAUGUAAUUUACACGGUCAUGCCUUUACUGUAGCAGCAAUGAGCAUUUUCGUAAAAAUUACCCUCUGUCUACUCCCUUUAGUAACUAAUUUGGAAAAUGUUCCUCUUAGUGGUAUUGUCGGUCAGAGCCCAAGAACAUAUGGCUGUGUCAUCUUUCCACCUUACCCUCUGGAAAAACUGAACCAAUUCAGGGUCAUCUGCAAGGUCUAAAUGCUCUGGCUUCCCUGUCACCAGUGGGUUUUCUUUCUAGUUUGGUAUUGUCUAAUUGUCCCUUAAAAUUUUUUUUCCCCUAAAAUUUUAAUUUGUAAUUCUUUAGUUAAAGUGAGACCCUACAUGUUUCCUUGUGAUGAUGCCUUUAAUUAUGCAAACUGGCUGCUUGUCCCCAUUGAGCAACCAUGUAAUUGAAUUGCGGUAUUAAUGGCCCGUGUUGAUAGCAUUUUUCUAUAGUAAGUGAUCAGUAUAUUAUUUACAAAUGUCUUUCUAUUCUGUGGUUUUCUCUGAAAAGCAUACUUUAUUUUGCAACAGUGUUUCAUUCCGAUUUAUUCUAAUCUAUCUCUUUUUUUUCCCCCGUGUGAAACUGUUCUUAAUUGUCCUGGUCUGGAAAUAGGGACCAUGUGGUACUUGAGGGCAAUGAUUUUUACUGAUUUUUCUUAUGCAACCAACCUUGGUGAUGGGUCCUUGGAGGACUGAACUGUGUCUCACCCUGUUUUUUGAAAACCCCCUUUUGAACUCCCAGGAGGCAUUUUGGUGGAGAGCUGGUGGCUGGGUGCUGGCUAGCUGGCGGCUGGCCAUAUCCAGCCAUCCCCAGCCCCUGGGCUAUCUGUACACCAUGGCAACCGAGUGGCGACCGACACACCCAGGCCCAGAAAGCCAGACAGAGUGGCGGCUGGAGACUUCACGGAAUCCUUGUAAUUAGAAAGGGAAAGAGCCUGUUAGCGCAUGCGGUGUCCUCCCCUCCCACAGGCCCAACCAGCUUUAGAAGGUGGCUUGUAAUUUGCUCUGUCACCUGGAGCACUCAGUUGAGUUUCUGGGUCUUUGAAGUCCAGGAGUUGGACUAAAUCGGUGGUUUUUAACCCCUUUUUGCGUCUUGUGCUUUUGGAAAGUGGUUGAAAGCAGUGCACCCUUUCCCUGGAAAAAUGCACAUUUCAAAAACCAUUUUGCAUGCUCUUUCAGGACGUGUGCAGCUAGAAGCCCAUCUCAACUUCAUUCCACAGUCUGCAGGUUUAGAACCCAAAGACUUGUUGAUCUCUGAGGUCCCUUUUUAGCUCAGAAAGUCCAAGUUACAGGAAGUUUCCGGUCAAGGAACCUGGGAUUAGAAGUGGGCAAAGGAGAGCCUCUUGUAUGUACUUGGAGGAGGCAACUGUCCAGCCCGAAGUGUUUUACUAUCUGGUUUGUUUGUUUGUUUGUUUUGUGUUGUUUGUUAUUUUCCAGGGUUGAGUUCAACUUUGUGAUACCAUGUUCUUUUAUCUUAUUCUUUCAAAAUUUUGUAGUGCCUCUGAAACUAUUGAAAUCUUUUAGGGUUUUGGGGGUGGAGAUGGGUUCCGAAUGCUUUUUGACAUUCCUGUCACAGGAAGGGGGAGGGGAACAUCUGCCCAGAUGUUCCUGGCAACUCCCAGCAGCUAUUAGCCUUUGCCUGCUGACCCUUCGCCUUUAGCAGCUUGGGACAUGAGAGAACGGGCUGGUUGCAUUGAUGUUUUUGUGAGCAGAUGGGUCCUUGGGAGUUGGAAGAGGGGGAGGAAAAUUUCUUCGGGUUCAUCAGAGUGCUUUCCCAGCACCUCUGGGCCUGCUUGGUUAAGAGGCUUUGCUUCAGUUCCCAGGGACUUUUCUAAUUCCUCAAAUGACCUGCCUGAGAGGGAGCUGAAAGGAAUGACUCGGGUCUCAGAGAUCUGUUCUCAGGGGUCAGGAGAAAAGUCCCAGUGUAAUUUGGUGUUAGCUGGAGGGGAGAUGCCCACAGUCACCAGCUGGGCCUCCAACUGUCCAGGCCAGCCCAGCCUCCUGCAAUGGGACGGAGACAGUCACAGAUACAAGUCUUUCUGGUUGGAGGUUGAAGGUAUGUGUGCAUACGUGUGCACACAGCUGCUUCUCAAUAUUUGGAUUCGACCCAGGAAAUUGACAGGACUUGGGGCAGGAGGGAGAGAAUCAGAAUCUUCAACCCCGAUUUUAUGUUUCUGGGAUCUCUUCCCUCCCACUGGCCGUCAGAAUGUUUACGUAAAAUGUGGGGCAAGUGAUAAAGGAAUUAGCCCCUAAAUAUUUUACAAAAUUUUAGGAUGAUUUUGCUGUGUGGGAGCGUGGCCUGAGUGUGGGGAACCUAUGGACCUGGUUCUACCAUAGUUACUGGUACUUUUUUUGUUUCCUGCGUAUUCUGGAACUCACCUCUGAACAUUUAGUACUUUUAACCAAGCAGGAGCAAUGCUGUGAUUCUUCUAAAAAGCACACACACGAUUUUUCCAGUAGUUCUCCCUUCCAGUUCUAAGUUUUGAGGAGUUUUUUCACAGUGCAAGAGAGCCUACAACUUUAAGAAAGUUCAUUCCAGCACAAGAUUUCAAAUGAAGCCGAAAUUGUGUGAAGUCACAGUUUUUCCCGUAUCAGCUGAGGAGGUGAAAGCCUCUUACUCCUCAACUGGGCACUGCAUUGUUGAACGUCCAUCACUUACUGUUUAAGUAGCCAGUGAUCCCUGAAAAAAGCCUUCCUGUAAAGUUGCCAAAAUGAUGCACUGCUUUGUUUCAAGCCACUGUAAACUCUCUUUCCCCAUGUCAUUUUUAUCUCCAGUGCUUUGGUCAAGGUCUUUUUCUGUUUGUUUCUGCAGAGUGAGAAAAUGUUGCAUUCCCCAAGAAAAUCUCCCAGAAAGACAGUUUUCAUUGUUGCCUGCUCAGUUCAGUUCUUCAUAGUGACCCAGGAAAGAAACUAGCUGGGUUUUUCUCCAGUCUCAUACAUUUUCAUCAGCACACACAAGUUUUAUACAGGAAAUUCUCACAACUUUGACCAGUUAUGUUGGCUGUUGCGGGGUGGGUGUGUGGCUAGCCUGGAUCAUAUAACAAUUUUUAAAAAGAUAAGUCAUUUUUAUUACUUUCUUAGUCAUGUACAAUUACAUUGGGGACCUAAUUUUGUAACAGUUAAUAAUUUGUAAAUGAUAUUUUAUGGCAUGCUAAAUAGAUUUUUCUUAAGUGCUUGUACUGUUAAUGUUUAUUCUGCUCUAAACUCUUAGUUUAGCAGCCGCCUUUUUUCAUACAUAUUGAAUUCAGCCUAAGACUGAAUUAUCCCAGGUUCUCUGGGCUGUGAAUAAAUAGUAUUAGAGCCUGACCCUCUCGGUGUUUGAGGUCUAGGGAAAUACAAGCUUAAGUCUGUCGGUUUCCUUUGCGGAACUGGUUAGUACCCUUCGCAACCGGUCAGUACCCUUCGCAAGCUGUCCGUGGCGUUGGGCACAGUGUUUUCUGAAUAAAUGAAGGGUUUUGUUUCUUUGUGGGUUUUGGGGUAUCAGCCCUUACACAAAAGUUAACCAACAGUGAGACCAGAAGUUGUUGCUCCUGGGGUGUGAGAGGGAUGGGGAAGACAUAAGAGCCGGUAAGUUCGGUAAUUCAGUGUGGGCUGAAUUCAACAUACUUGGCGGUAUGAAAAACGGGGACUGCUCAACUUAUGAGUCAUAUAAAUAGUAACAGUACAAAUACUUUAGAAAAACCUGUUUAGCGUGCCAUAAAAUACCAAUUACAAGUUAUUGCUAACUCAGUAAAUUAGGUCAGCAGACCUAGAUUGUCCCUUUCGGUUCUCACAAAAUCCCUACAAAAGAUCUAUUCUACCCAUUUUACAAAUGCGGAAACCGAGACUUCGAUAAAUCCUCCCAAGACCACGGAGCUGGCAGAUAGCGGCACUGAGAUUCCUUCCCAAACGGUGCAGUGGCGGACCCCAGACUUUCCCACCGCCAGGGCACCAAGCAAACGCCCAGGAGAGCCUCUUAGGUCCCCUUAACCCGGCUGCGGCCAGAAGCGCGGACCCGCCCCUGCCGUCACGUGACCGCCGCGGGCGCGCGCCCCGCCGCCGAGCAUGCCGGGAGACGGUGGCCCCUUCCAGGCCGCGGGCUUCCGCGAGUGGGCGGCGGGCGGCGCGCCCCGGAGGAGCGCGCGCUGGGUGGUUGGGGCCGGGCGCGAGGAGGAGCCGCUGGGCGGCCAAGCCCCUCCGAGUGCCGGCUCUCUUCCGACCUCCCUGGCAGGGCGAACCAGAGCGGAGGGCGGAAGGCCCGGCGCUCCGUCGCUUAAUUGUAAACAGCUCGAGUGGGAAAUGAAGUCAGGCUUGGCCCCCUGGGUCCCCGGUGCAGGCUUCGCUGGUUUCAAGGGGAGCUCAGACCUUCACACCCAGGGGCGCUGCCCCUCGCUUUUUCUCACGCUUAGGCGAUAGGACUUUGUGUGCAAUCUCAUUUUUCUAGCGAUGUCUGCACCUCUUUUCCCCUUCACCUACUCAGACAUUCCCGUGUUUCUUCAUAAUCACUUUCUCCUACUUAAACAUACACACUUAGCCCUUGGCAAGCGAAGUGGAAUCUUGGGUCCUUGUCAGACCUCAAUGUUUAAGCUGCUGAAACGCAGGGCAUAUUUGGUUUAGAUAUUUUACUGUUGUGAAAAUAAACCACCUCCUGCAGUCUCACCAGCUCAGAUUUUUCCUCGUUAGGGUCAAUGUAGAUUAUCUACUGGAGGAAAAAAUGUUUAAUUAGAAAGGAAUGAAAUUAUUCCAACUCCUGGUUCCUUGAGACUGGGGGGAGCUAAGGCAAGGAGCAGUUACAUAGAUGAGUACAAAACAUACCAGGGACUAAAGAAACCCCUGUUGAAAUGCAACGUCUGUUGGCUCCUGGUGAUGGACUCGCCUUAACUUUGCUUUCUGGCUCACAGCACGUGGCCCCAGGUUCCCUGGCUCUGGGUUUCCCUGUUCUUACUCCGCUCGAGUCUUAGAGAGUUCUAGACCGAUGAAGUGGGAAGGCGCCCUGUUAAUGGGUCUGCAUUACCACCUGCCCAGUAAAGAGACUGAGCAGUUGUUCCAUGGGUUUCUUAGAGCCAAAUGAUGGGAAUUAAAUCUAUGCUCUUAUCUAUGUGUAAGUGUAGUCGCUGCCUCAGCUCCUCUCUCUCUAGACAUAGUGCCUGUUGUUUCCUGCCUUUUUAACAGAGAUACAGUGAGGCCCCAGGAAGAUGACAGGCAGCACGGCAGAUGGUAACUCUUGGUACCUCACUGUCAUGAGAUAGAGGGGGAGUCUCAAGUUUAUCUUUCUGUUAGGGAACUAGUUGCCCUGCUCAACAAAUACCUGGUGCAGUUUUCUUGUCUCUUUCUGUUCUCUGGUAUUUUCUCUGGCCUUAGGCAAGCAUUUCCUGCUUUUUCUGAUCCUCUCAGUGUGUGUGCAGGGGUGUUAGAGGAGGAAGGAGGAGGAAGAUUUCUGAUAAGGGAGCAGCUGGUGAGCAGGAAAUGGCUAUUUGGUACUGGUUGUUCUGCAGAAGUAGGGAGCGUCUAUGGUGCUGAUGCUGUGAGGUCAGUGAGAAGCAUUCAGUUCAUGACCAGGAGCCUUCUCAUCACAAGCGGGUACGUUAGUGAGGGUCCCUGAAGUGUGCUCAUUUCAGGCCCAGUCAGCAGUGGGCGGAAUCCCCACCUCUUCUACUCCCUGCCGUGCUGACAGUUCACUGAGCAGGUCUCCCAUGUUUCUGUGGCGCUUAAAAGAUGAGGUCCUUAGAGGAGAUGGGGCAAGUCAAGUUUUCGAAGUAGGGCUCUUGUUAGAAGAUGUUAGUGUCCUCAGAGCCUUACAGGAAUUCUCCUGUUGGGAUUGUACUUUCUGUUCUGUAGAAAUGGUACUUCCAAAAGCAGGAAGUUCCCGGCUAAUAUAGCAGCGAGCCUCACCUGGAGCUCACACUGACCCUGCAUGGCUGGCUUCUGAUCAGAGUGCCAAGAGUAUCUGAAACUCUUGGAAGUGUGUUCACACGAAGAAUGGAAGGCACUGUGUACUGCCGUGCAAUGCCCUGUGAGAUCUGAAAUCCAGAGUCCAAGGGAAAGCUCAGAUGAUGACAAACCUAGGUCCAGAGAAAGACACAGACCUUUACGAGACAGUGAAUUUCUUCUGAGGUCCACAGCAUCUCUUUUUAUAUUCUCUUCUUCUCUUGCUAGACUUCUGUUUGGACUUCUGUUCCCGUCUUGCUCUGUGCUGAGCAGGUGGUGGUUAGCAGUCAGGCAGUGUAGCCUGUGGGAAGAAGAAGCAGGCUCUGUAGUCAGAGGCUGAGUUUCAAUCCCAGCCUGGACAGUUACUGGUUUCAUCUUAGGCAAGAUAUUUACCUUCUGUGAAAAUACUUCCUGCAUUGGGCUUAUGUGGGGAGUGAGUGAUGUAAGUCUCCACGGUGCAUACGUGGUAAAUGGUACUAAUUGUUUUUGUUUUACAUUGAUGAGGCCGUGCUACACUGGGCACUGCGGAGACUAUCUGAGUGAGGACUGCUCUCAGAAAGCCGACAGUAAAGAUGAUAAUAGUUAACUACUGUGGGUUUACUAUGGGCCAGCCGUUGUUCUCAGUGUUUUCAGUCUCUUGGCUUAUUUAAUCCUCAUGAUGGGCCUGUGAGGUAAGGCUGCUAGUAUAUCUGUUUUGCAGAUGAUGAAACUGAGACACAGGUUAAGUAACUUCUCAAGUCUCAGAGAAAGUCCUAGUAUAUGAAAAUAGGCAGCUUGGCUCUGGGGUCUGGGCUCUGAACUACUCUGCUCUCCCCUGCCUCUCAGUAUAGGCUGUUAGACUAGGGAACCAGUGUGGUCAGCAGCCAGUGGGUGCCUGGUGGUGCUGAGACCCUCAGAGGUCAUCCUCCAGGCAUCCUGCCCUUGAACCUUUCCUUACUGUGUCCCAGUGCCACUGUGACUGGGAGGCCGCCUACUCAGCUUUCCUACUAAACAAAUGGCCCACUGAAUGCUUCCCUUUUGGCUGAGACCUUUCCCUCUCUCUUGGCCUGAUAGACCCCUAUUAUCAAUGUGUUAGAAAGUCAAGCCUGUUCUUUAUGGAAGAUGGUUGGGGGGAGAGGAGGCCACGGGGGGAGAGGAGGCCACAGGGCCAUGGAGAGUUCAAGAAACCCGAGGGAAACUUAAAGCAUUGUUCCUUGGCCAUCAGCUGCUCCCUGGGUCCUCCCCAGCAGUUUGUUGGAGUUUCCAGAUGACCCUGGUUUGAUAUGAGUUUUCCAGCUCUUUCUUGAGCUGCCAGGCUCAAUCUUCUUCAUUUUAAGCAACUAAGUGCAGCAGGUUGGAGAGGCCUGAGCUGUGACCAGCAUAGCAGAGCGAGUGGUGCCCAGGGCUCUUCCUGGAGCUCAUCAGCAGAUCUGUGAGUGCUGAGUCAGCAGCAGGGGAGGAGAAGCCAGGUGCAGGGCUGAGCUCGAGCUCAGUGGCCUGGCGGGGAGAGGGUUGCCCCAUCCAGGAUGCAGCCUUCCAGAACCUCCUGCAGAUGAUGCCUCUCCUCUUCCUGAUGCUCUGGCCUCAGUCAGCAGCUCCCGAGCUUUGGGAUCAGCCACGUGCAGGAGGAGUCCGUCUUUUCUGUUUGUCUCCAGCUGCUGGAGUUAUGGAGUUAUGACCCAUUCAAAUCUUCCCCCUCAGCGUGGAAGUGGCUAGAUGUCAACUGCAGAGUUGGAGAACCGGAGCAAAGGGAUCCCGGACCCGAUGUCCGAGCAGGAAGGGUGCCAAGAAGAGGAACCGGUGCCUUCACUGGCUCGUGCCAGAGCUCUGUCUCCUGUGCUCGCUCAUCUCCAAGGCGGGGAUUCUGUUUCUCGUGUUCGCUGUACUGUGUGUUCGUGAUCUUUUCAGAUUUGCUUACUGGUGGAGAAAAGGGAAAGAAAGUUCACCUCUGUUGAAUAUUCGCCAAACACUGCACCGUGCCCUUAAAUGCGUUAAUCCUUCAUCACACCCCACAGUGAUUAUUUCCGCCAUCUCUCAGCCAAAGAAACAGAUGCAGAAAGGUUAACCACCUUGCGACAGGCACGUAGCCUGAAUCAGUGGAUUUCCUCCUGGACCUACCAACUUGUAGUCGACGCUUGCCCAUGUUUUCUGGUUCAGUGAACUAUAUGGUUAUUAUUCUCAGAUGAUUACCACUCCAAAUUCAAGCGAACCAGUUUGUUUAGUGGUUCCUGGUAUGGUUUGUUCCCAAGAAGCCUGGAUGAAUGAACGUCAGGGUGUGUCCUCUUUUUAAUUAGGGACACUCUACCUGUCCUUAUGUAGGAAGCUGGCGUCCCUGAGUGUGAUCCGUGCUGGGGAUGUUUCCUGGGAGUGCGGAAGGGUUGUGCCGAGCUCCCUGCAAUCCCUACGGGGGACUCAAGCCUAAGGGGGAGGCUGGGACCGUGUCACCUCUGCAGUGUCUCAGCUCUGAGAUUCUGUGACCUUACUAAGUGUGAUGAAGCACUUAGAAACUAUGCAGAGCCCUCGCUGGAUGUCAAGGCGUUGCGUGUUGUUUUUCUCACUGCUAAUGCCAGCAGUGACUUCUCCGGAGAAAAUCGGUCAUCUUAGUGGUCACUUUGUCUCUGAAGGGACCCUGAGAAACAGGAGCAGCUAAUGCUCCAACUGGAAGACGAUGUCCUCAGGAAACGGAGGAGAAGGUGCAGGGCCUGGCCCGCCACCGUUUCCUCUCUCAGCUGUGGCCUCGUCAGAGGUGGGAGCUGGCAUUCAGGGUAGUAGAAUAAGGUUACUAUCUACCUGCCAGGGUUGUCCGUUACAUCUAAUUCUAGGUACCAGGAGCACUUUUUGUGGGCCAACCUAAUUCUCAUUUAAUCCCAUAGCAAAACUAUGAGCAAAACUAUUAUCCCCAUUUCACAGAUAAGGCAACUGAGGCUUAGAGAGAUUAAAUAAUUGGACCAAAUCAUACAGCUAGUAAUUGGUAAAGCCAGGAUUUUAACCAAUUAUAUUGAAUUCCAAAGACUCUCAGGUAGGGCAUUAGUGAGUGGGUAGUGGGCGAAGCUGGGUGUCCUAGGUGAGGGGCAGGCAGGAGCUGGAGGGACGAGGGAAAAUGAAAGUGGGAAUGACAGUUGGAGGGCUGGGGAGGAGGCCUGGGGACCAUGAGUCUUUCCCCCUGCUCCGCCUUUUUCUCUUUUCUUCUUGGUCCUGGGCCUAGGGCCCUUCCGCCCUCUCCCUGCCUGCAUCCUCCUGCAAUGCCCCCGCGCUGGGGGUUCCAUUGGUGGUGUGGGCCUUGCCAUAUUUUCUCCAUUGCCCUCCUCUACUUCUAGCCAUUUCCCCCACCUCCCUUCCUUUCCCCUCUCUUCCUUCUUGCUGUCUGUCUGCCAGUUUUACGGCACGCCGGACUCCUCGGAAGGGCAGGGUGAGGAUGGGGUGGAGGCAAGUUCUCCAGGGGCAGCGGGGGCUCUGCAGUGUCUCAGGGUCCUCUGCCAUGGGUGGGGAGGGGAGACAGGACCACGGGGCGGUGCUGGGGCAGCGGAGCUGGACUGAAGGGCGGGAGACACCUGCACUUCACGAGCUCGGUCCCCGCCCCCGGUCUGCCGCAUAUAACUGCUGUUAAACCGGCAUCAGCCUUACUGCGCAAUGGGUAUCUUUAACACCAAAAUACGGACUCCAUUCUCUUUUAUUAUGGAUUUUGGCCUAACAUUUCACUCAAGGUAAUUCUGACUCCUGUGACUUUCUGUGAUUUAUCCUAUUCACUGUCCCGCCCUUGUCCCGCUUUUUGCAAGGGUAGGAAGAAUAAGGAGACUUGAAUGCAAAUACAGCCCUGGCAACUUUUUAACUCUGGACCUAGAGACAUUUUUUGUCUGUCACAACUACAAGGGAGGGGGUGCUACUGGUAUUUUAUGGGUAGAGGUCAUGAACGCUGCUCAACAACCUACACGCACAGCAGAACAAAGAAUUACUCCAUCCGAACUGUCAGUAUGGUAGAGGUUGAGAAACCCUGAUGACUGAGUCUGAGUUUCUUCAGCUGCAAAAUGAGUGUCCUGAUCCCAGGCUCCCUCACUUGGGAGGCUCAAAUGAGAUAAGAUAUGUGAGAGUACUUGAUAAAACUGUGAUGUGCACUAUGGGCAUCCAGUUCAUCUGGUCAGUUACGAUGGAAGGCAUUCCAGACCAGUUAGUCCUGCUGUAUUCACCAGUUAUAAGAAGUCAUUGAUAUCAGUGAAAAGGUCGUCUAGGGUUAGACUCAGGAAAGAACACUGUGGGGUCCUAACAGAAGCAUCCCUGAAGGUUCUUAAAGGUCUGUUGUCAAUAGUCCCCAGGAUGUAGUUCAAACAGCUUCAAAACUAUUCAACCACGCUCUCGUGCAGAUUUUAUUUCUCUGCUUCUUCAUGCAACUUGGUGAGAUAUAAACACAUUCUCUGUGGCAUUCUUCCUGGUUUUGUAGCCUGCAUCCAAAGAAGAAAUGAGAGUGGUUUGUUGAGAUUUUUUUCUUACUGAAUGCAUUAGACUGUUAGCAAUGUCUACUUUUCUCUGUUUGUUCACAAAUCACUUGUUCUAUAAUCCAGCCUUUUGUCUGCCAGUUGGCUGGCAGCUUCCAGAAUCCAGGUUGGCAGAACAUUAGGCAAAUACAUAUUGACCUGUCUGUAGUCCUCUGAGCCUUCUCAUACUCUCUGUGCUAUCUUAAGGGUUACUGGUAGCGGUUCUGUGAACACACAGUGGAGUUCUUUUGGGCUGUCCCUGAAGACAAGUAUAGUAAGCAAAGUGCGCUGGGAGAUCCCCUGUGGCUGGGGCCCUUGGAUAACUUGAGUUCUCUUAAAAGAACCACAUGAGGCUUUGUGGGGAAAUUGGGGUCAUCCAGGAAAGGGGAAUAAGAUACACAUCAGCCCCCGACGUAGCCCUUCCGUCUGACCCAUGGUGUCAGCACGUGAUGUGAACUCAGAAUGGGAGGACUGCCUGCUAUGGACAUAGAAAGUGGUUCUAAAGUCUAGAAAUUACGUUCUUAAAACCAUGACUCUUAGACAAGCGUUUCCCUAAUCUCUGUGUAUAAAGAGGUUCUCAGCAUUGCUUGAUGGUAUUCGGUUUAGACCAGCCAGGAAAAGGCAGGAGAGGUGGAAGGGGGUGAUGGAGGGCCCUGACUCCUUCCGGAAGCCCGAGGCAAACUUAGCUCAGUGUCUUCCGUGCUCUGCUUUUGGGCUCCUGGGCCUCCCAUUCCACGCAGUAACUUUAACCCAGCUUCUGGAAAAGCUCUGUGCUGUCUGCUCCCAGCAGUUGACCAGAAGGUCUGUUGUAACGGUGUGGCCUUGAAGGACUCUUUGGUCCUCGGACAAAAGCAGCAAACUGGACCGAAAUGCCUGCUUUGUUCCCUGACCAGCGAGCUCUGUUCCAGUCGGGUCUGAAGUAGGUCCAGGGCCAGGAGACCAAAGCCGUGGACUUAGGGUCAGAUGUUGAGAUUUUAUUGUCUGCCGGUUGUUGGUACGUGUUAGGAAAAGAGGAGGAGGAGAAAUGAGAGACAGCGUUCGCAUUGGCAAAAAUACUUCCACAAGGUGCUGUCGCGCGGUGAGUUGGCCUGUCUCUUUCGUUCUUUCCAUCUCUUAAGAAGUUGGCGUGUUCCUCAAACUCGAGUAUUUAUAUUCUGGACAUUAAUAGUUAUGCAGGUGGAGCUAAGUCUCUGGAACACCAUGUGCCCUCCAGCUCUUUCUUUGGGGUUCAGCCGUUGGUGGUGUGAUGUGACUUUUCCUUAAAGUGGUGGCUCAGAACUAGCCAGUGUGGCCCAGACCCCCAGGCUCUCUAGAGGCCAAGUUCAGCCUCAGCUCCUUUGGGGCCGGGUAGGGUGGAGAUCGGCCCUGGUUUCUGUGGAGGAUUUCAGGGCUGCAGAAUGAGGGUGCUUUCUUUAGAAGCUUACCCCUUUAAAAAUAAGUUCCAGUUUCCUAUUUAUUUGAAGAGGCUUUUGGACUUGGGUUUUUGAAACCUCUUCCCGCCAUUUCACGUGACUUGGGACACAGCAGCUGGGAAGAUGUUCUUUUAACUCAAAUGGAAAGUUGGACUGGGCUGGGGCCUACAGAAAACUUGGGAAAGCUUAGAAUACAGACAAGUGAGAUUUGAAAAAAUAUAUAAAAGGCAUUGUGAGAGGCAGCUGAGCGUAAUGGAAAGAGUGUAAACUGCAGAGUCAGAUGACUUGGAGUUGAAUUCUAGCCCUUCUUUUUGGGCAGAUUGCUGAAUUUCUUCUCCUUCAUUAAACUGCACAGCUAUACGGUUGUGAAGACUCAUGAAAAAUUAAGGUCUAGCAUCGUGCUCAUAGUAGGCCCUUGAUAAAUACUGACCCCCCCCCAUCUCCCCACCCCAGGCCUUUUAUCCUUGUUUUCCCAGAGCUGUUAUGUUUCAUUACUGGCCCUUCAUAAGUCACCAUGUGGACUCCAGCCGGUACCUGGGAGCCCAGGACAAAGAGUAGCCGCUAUGGACUCUGGGUGGGUCAUGGUUGGGGCUCCCGGGACCCACUGCGACUUGCCUUGGGGAUUAGGGCUGAUACAAUCUAGAGCUGCUCCCAGAGCUCUUCUGUGUUUAUUUUUAGUUUGGGGUCAUUUAAAAUUGAACUCAUCACGUACAAAGACUCCAUGGGGAGAGAUGGAAGCAACACAGAAGAAAUAUUUGGAAGCAGAGUACACAGCUGUUGAGGUGACAGGACAGACUCCUGGACAUUACAACAUUAUUAUUUAUCAGGGAAAGUUGAAAUUGGUCAGAGAACAAAGUUUUCCUUAACACAUCAGUCUUAGUACCAGAGGUCUCUUUUUAUUGUUCCUGCAUCAAAAUUAUUUGCUGUGCUCUGUAUUGGGCCAACCACACGAGCCAAAAUACUGUUUUGCAAAUUGGGAGGGGGCACGUGUCUGCUAAUUCUAGGUCCUCCAUUUCCUCCUGUUGAUUCAGGCUCGAGCUAAGGCAUUUAUAUACAUUUGGGGGCUUUUUCUGGGGCUCAUUCUAGAACGUCUGCUUACUGUGUGUGCAGCUGCAUUCGGCCCCUGCCUGCUGCUGACACUGGAAGCCUUACGGCCCGAGGUUGGGAAGAGAAUAGAAGAAACUGAUCUUAUGAAUGUGUCUGUGGUUAAUUUGAGGAAAGGAAUAUGCAUCUUACUCCCAAGGAGAAUAAACAAAUUUUUUUUUAAGUGUG